CAGUCGCCGCGGUAAUACGUAGGGUGCGAGCGUUAAUCGGAAUUACUGGGCGUAAAGCGUGCGCAGGCGGUUUUGUAAGACAGGCGUGAAAUCCCCGGGCUCAACCUGGGAAUGGCGCUUGUGACUGCAAAGCUAGAGUGCGGCAGAGGGGGAUGGAAUUCCGCGUGUAGCAGUGAAAUGCGUAGAUAUGCGGAGGAACACCGAUGGCGAAGGCAAUCCCCUGGGCCUGCACUGAUGCUCAUGCACGAAAGCGUGGGGAGCAAACAGGAUUAGAUACCCCCGUAGUCCCUGUCUCUUAUAC
rnacentral:rRNA from 1 species